rnacentral:rRNA from 1 species
AUACGGAGGGUGCGAGCGUUAAUCGGAAUUACUGGGCGUAAAGCGUGCGUAGGCGGUUUGCUAAGUCAGAUGUGAAAGCCCCGGGCUUAACCUGGGAACUGCAUUUGAUACUGGCAGACUAGAGUAUGAUAGAGGGGGGUAGAAUUCCUGGUGUAGCGGUGAAAUGCGUAGAUAUCAGGAGGAAUACCAGUGGCGAAGGCGGCCCCCUGGAUCAAUACUGACGCUGAGGUACGAAAGCGUGGGGAGCGAACAGGAUUAGAAACCCCUUGUAGUCC